CUACCUGCAGUCGAGCGGAACGAGUUAUCUGAACCUUCGGGGAACGAUAACGGCGUCGAGCGGCGGACGGGUGAGUAAUGCCUAGGAAAUUGCCCUGAUGUGGGGGAUAACCAUUGGAAACGAUGGCUAAUACCGCAUGAUGCCUACGGGCCAAAGAGGGGGACCUUCGGGCCUCUCGCGUCAGGAUAUGCCUAGGUGGGAUUAGCUAGUUGGUGAGGUAAGGGCUCACCAAGGCGACGAUCCCUAGCUGGUCUGAGAGGAUGAUCAGCCACACUGGAACUGAGACACGGUCCAGACUCCUACGGGAGGCAGCAGUGGGGAAUAUUGCACAAUGGGCGCAAGCCUGAUGCAGCCAUGCCGCGUGUAUGAAGAAGGCCUUCGGGUUGUAAAGUACUUUCAGUCGUGAGGAAGGUAGUGUAGUUAAUAGCUGCAUUAUUUGACGUUAGCGACAGAAGAAGCACCGGCUAACUCCGUGCCAGCAGCCGCGGUAAUACGGAGGGUGCGAGCGUUAAUCGGAAUUACUGGGCGUAAAGCGCAUGCAGGUGGUUUGUUAAGUCAGAUGUGAAAGCCCGGGGCUCAACCUCGGAAUAGCAUUUGAAACUGGCAGACUAGAGUACUGUAGAGGGGGGUAGAAUUUCAGGUGUAGCGGUGAAAUGCGUAGAGAUCUGAAGGAAUACCGGUGGCGAAGGCGGCCCCCUGGACAGAUACUGACACUCAGAUGCGAAAGCGUGGGGAGCAAACAGGAUUAGAUACCCUGGUAGUCCACGCCGUAAACGAUGUCUACUUGGAGGUUGUGGCCUUGAGCCGUGGCUUUCGGAGCUAACGCGUUAAGUAGACCGCCUGGGGAGUACGGUCGCAAGAUUAAAACUCAAAUGAAUUGACGGGGGCCCGCACAAGCGGUGGAGCAUGUGGUUUAAUUCGAUGCAACGCGAAGAACCUUACCUACUCUUGACAUCCAGAGAACUUUCCAGAGAUGGAUUGGUGCCUUCGGGAACUCUGAGACAGGUGCUGCAUGGCUGUCGUCAGCUCGUGUUGUGAAAUGUUGGGUUAAGUCCCGCAACGAGCGCAACCCUUAUCCUUGUUUGCCAGCGAGUAAUGUCGGGAACUCCA
rnacentral:rRNA from 1 species